AGAGGCGAGAAUCGGAAUCAGAAAUGAAAUUACAGGACCUACACUAUUUUGGGAAUGGAGAAUGGAAGAUUGAUUCCCAAGAGGACGUUAGGAAUCAAUCUCCCAUUCCCAGGGGUUCCAAUUAUACCUCAAUUUCAAAUUUUAAAAUUCCCAAAAACCCUCCCUUAAAUAAAAAUUAUAAAUAGCGGAAAAUAAAAAAUAAAAACAAAAGUAGCAACAAAUCCCUAACUCCUCGAUUAAGCUCCAGUUGAUCAUCAUUGCAUCCAAAACCUCACCGUUGCUGACAAAAUCAAGCACUGUUACCAUCAUCAUUGGUCCAUUGGCUAUGAAGCAGCAGCUAUUGCAUGUUUCAUCUCCAUUUGGGCCAUCCCCGUCUCAGUUUCAUGUAUGUUUUAUCUACCUUAGUUUUCAUCACGUUUCAUCUCCGGUUUCAUCUUCGAUAGCUAUGGUUUUGCUUUGAUGAUGAUGAUGAUGAUGAUGAUUUGUUGUUGUUGAUGAUGAUUCCUAUUUUAAAUUAUUUUUGUUGAUAAUGAUGAUUGUUUUAUUCUAAUUUUGAUAUUUUGUUGAUGAUGAUGAUUGAUGAUUUUUUUAUUCUAAUUUUGAUAUUUUGUUGAUGAUGGUGAUUGAUGAUUUUUUAUUCUGAUUAUGUUGAUGACAAUGAUUCCAAUUUUAAUUUUUAAUUUGUUGACGAUGAUGAUUUUUUAUUCCGUGGUAUUGUUGAUGAUAAUGACGAUGAUUUGUGAUUCCAAUUUUGUUGAUGAUAAUAAUUUCAAUUUUAAUUUUUUUAAAUGAAUUAUUAUUAUUAUUAUUAUUAUUAUUAUUAUUAUUAUUAUUAUGAUAAAAAGAAUUGUUGUUGUUGUUGUUGUUGUUGUUGUUGUUGUUGUUGUUAUUGUUAUAAUAAAAAGUAUCAUAAUUAAAUAAUAUUUUGAAAAUAAUGUAAAUAUUAAUACUCUAUUAUUAAUGAUUAUUAUUAAUAAUAAUAAUUUCUGAAUAAAUAAUCACAAUAACUAAAUACAAAAUAAUAAUUAUAACAAUAUUUAAUUAAUGACUUUUUUAGUAAUUUAUAAUUAUCUAACUCAUUUUGAUUUCCAUUCUAAGACAAAGUAAAUACAUUAAUGGAAAUCUAGCUCAUUUUGAUUCUAAUUUAUACAAUUCAAGUAAAUAACUUAUUUUGAUUCUCAUUUCCUAUCCUCAUUCUAGCUCAUUCUGAUUCCUGCUCAUUCUAAUUCCAGCUCCAUUCUGAUUUUCGUUUAAUAAACACACCAUUGAUGUAGAGUCAAACUAGUAUAUGGCUACAUGAAGAACUACAUGAUAAAUCAUACAAAACCUAGAAAAGACUAUUGGCCUAAUUUGUAAAUAUAAUAAUGAGCAGCACGUGAUUACUAACAAAAUCAUGAGUUUAAAGCUCUAACAGUGGAGAUUUAGAUCUAAAAUUAAAGCCUCCCGCCAAACCCACCUUUUUUCAUCUAUAUAUACAUGCCAAAAUGUUUGAGAAAAAACCUUUGGCCAUCCUCUCAUUAAUAAGAGAAAAUUAGAACUGGAAUUUUACUAAAUUCAAAUAAACAAAUCUAACAAGAGUGUCGAAGUGCUUUCCCAAGUACAAGUUCGAGUUAAAUUAGUGGAUAAGUGAAGAAUGAUCAGGAAUAAAUAGUAGGUUUGUUUAAAUUAUAAACUGGACUAUUAAAGGAUUUUGUAUGCUUCAUAUACAAUGAUAAACAAAUUUAAUACAUAUAACGUCAGUCCAUGUUAGAUAAAAUAUUUUGCUAAAUUAUAGCUUAAAGUCUAAUGCACCCAUAAGAUAAGAAUAUUUGAAUUAAAUAACAUAAUAAAAAUAAAAUUAUGAAAAAAUUAUAAUAAUUUUUGUAAUAGAACUAUUGGGGUUACAUAAUUUGUUAUGAGUGUAAGAAAAAGUACCAUAAUAUUUAUAAAAAAAAAGUAAAUAUAUAGAGUGUAACGUGUUAAAUGAAAUUUGAUAAUAAAUGUAAAAAAAAAAAAAAAAAUACCUUGAUACUUAAAUGUCUAUUGUAAUUAAAAAGGAGUUUAAGGCUCUAAAUUAAACAUGUCAAUCGUUUGGUCUCAUAAUAAUAGCAAAGAGGGGGUAUUGUGACAUACGUGCAAUAUAGAGCAAAACAUUUGUAGAUAUGAAAUAGUAUAAGGAUAUAAAAAUAGUAAAUGUGCCUAUGGAUGGAGGCAGAAAUUAGUUUAAUAAUUAUGGGGAGAAAUUUAAAUAAAAAUGAGGGCAAGGGGGUUACGUAAAAAUUUAGAGUGAUGCUGUCACAAAAGACAAAAGAAGUUUUAUGGUGCCGUGUCGCAGCAUAACUGGACCCUUCGUGGUGGGUCUUGCUUGUCUACGCGAAAAAAAAUUUCAAGCAUUUGUGGGAUGGGAAAUUGGGAUCACAAUGGCCAUUAAAAUAAUUGUGUCUCAAUUCUCAAAUGGGAAUCAUGAUGUCUCAAAUCGGUUAAUUAAUAUAAAUUAAUUACUUUUAAUUAAUCGUGCGCCAUUGUUCUUAUCCUCCUUGGUUAAUUAAUUAAUUAUUCAUUCAUUCAUUCAUUCAUUCAUUCUUGUGAUCAAAGCAGCAGCCGCAGUGUUUUAAUUGUUUAAGUCAGAUUAUUACAAGAAGAUCAUGCACGUGCAUUCCCUUAAGAAGCAUUUGAAGAUCAUUGGAGAAGGAAGUAUACUUUCUUUUAAUUUAUCCUCACAACUAAUAAUUAAUCGUUAUAAUAAUUAUAAUAAUGAUGGCCAUUUUCCCAUGCACUUUGUUUGGUAUCCUUUAAUUUGCGCAGUAAAGCUCACCAAUUCUUUAACCGAUAACAGGACAAAGAAUCAAAUGUUCUUUUCAUUUUUUUAUUUUCCCUCUCUUUAAUACAAAAAAAAUAAAAGAUUUGAGGAAAUAUAGAGUAACAUGGUGGAUAUCAAAGAAAGAUUCGUAAAAGAAGAAAAAUAAGGAGUGAAUAAGAAACAAGUAAUGUUAUAAGGAACACUCUUUAAGAUUUUUUUUUUUUUUUUUCCUAAUGUUAACGAUGAUAAUUGAUGGAAUCGAUGAGAUGAGGAUCUAAUUAAUUAAUUAAGCAGCUUAAAGCAAUUACUGAUCAUCACUAAUACGUCCACCAAAUUACCUGGCAAGAUUUGAGAGCACCUUGCAUGCAGCCAUAAGCUCAAAACAGUAGUGAUAUUUUGGUGGACAUAAUAGUGACAGUGUAUGGUUGAUUAAAUUAACCUUCAGAAUUCAAGAAGUGUUUCCAUUAAACAUCCACUUACUUGAGUUUUACUCAAGAAGUGCUCAAACAGAUCAUAAGAGAGUCUAAAUUCUUGAAUCUUAUCAAAUUAUAUAAUUAUUUAAUUAAAUAUUUAAUUUUAAAAAAACUAUUAAAUAAAAAAAAAUUUUUUAUGACUUUAUCCGAAUAGGAAAAGAUCUUAAUGGAGAGUAAAUAUUAUAUUAUAAAAAUAUCACUAAUAAAUAUACUUAUUUUCUAAACUGUAAAAUUUAAUCUUUUUAUUCGUUUUGAUUUAUAAAUACAUAAAUGUCAAAUAAACAUAUUUAAAAUAUGUUUCAUUUAUAAAAUCAAACAAAAUGCCAUUUACAUUUCGACAUGACAAUAUUAAAAAAAAAAGACAAAUAUGUCAUUCAAAUUUUUAUAUUGAGACCCAUUCAAACUUCAGACAAGAGAAUAAAUAAGUCUUCACUAUCAUCAUUUUGAUUUUAAUUCGUGACACAACCAAAUUAUAUAUGAAAUCAAACUAAUGAUAGUAAUACUAUCGACAAAUAAGAAAGAUUGAAGAAUCAAAUUCGUUUACGUAACAUGAGCAACUGAUUUACGGUAGAGACUUGUCAGAGUGUUAUUAAGAUUGCAUGGGCCAGCUGUUUGGGCCAGCCCACAAGAUCUCAUGGUUCCAUUUAUCGUUUGCAUGUUUUAUUAUUUUAUAGACUCCAUUCAAGUUUUGAAAAUUUUAAUCAAUAAAUUUGAUAUUAAAUUUGUUUAUUUAUUUUAAUUGAAGCAUCACACACCCUGACCCGGUUGUUAAGAUAAGAGUGGGUGGGUUAGAUUAAUUGGAGAGAAAACGACAAGUGGGAGAUUGAUGGAGUGGGUGUUUCUUAUUUCUUCUAAUUCUCACCUAAUAGUCCCUAGGAUUAUGAUUUUAUUCUAAUUUAAGAAAAAAUAAUUAAUCAGUCAUAAAAGAAAAAAGAUUGCAGAAAUUUGAUGGGUGCUUUAUUUUUUAAAUUCACAGUACUUUCAAAAACAUAGUUUAUCAAAUACGUUUUGUACAAUUGAUUAUUUUUAUUUCGAAAACAAAUUAUUUUAUAAGUUAAAGGUAUGAGUUCGAACUUGUUGAAUGAGUAUGAGAAAAUUAGGUUAUUAUUAUUAUGGUGCUGAUAAUUACAAAAAAACACAUAUUUUAUAAGUUGCAACAAUUCUUUUAAACUGGCACUUACCAGAUUUUACUGAAAUAGGAUUAAUUGGUAAUAUUAUAACUUUUAAAAUAGUUACCGUCAGCUGUGUUGCAAUAUAAUCAAUCGUGAAGAGUAUUGAUUAAGUGUUUAGUAAAUAUAAUUGUUAAAGUAUUGUUAGAAUACAAAUGACUAAAAUAGAUAUAGUAUCAAGGAAAAUAUACUUCAACACAUAUGCAAACAUGUAUGUUUAAUACUUUUUUUCUCGAAUUAAUUCUUCUUCAUCGUUGUCGUCGUUGUCAUAAUAAUAAUAAUAAUAAAAAAACCUUCUUUCAUCAAAUAACAUUAAAUUUUGUGUAAUCAAAGUUCAAAGAUAUGGUCCUUUGAAAAUGAUAAGAAAGUAUAUUGAUAAAACUCAUCUUAAAUUUUAUCGAAAAUUUGUAAAUAAAAGAUAAGGUAUCAAAACACAUACUAACCUAAGCGGCAAUCUUGCAGUGAUGAUAUUUGAAGUAUUAGAGAAGUUUUGAUGAAAUGGAAAAUAGGAAGAAGAAGAAUUGGGGUAAAGAGCAC
rnacentral:lncRNA from 1 species